rnacentral:rRNA from 1 species
GACGAACGCUGGCGGCGUGCUUAACACAUGCAAGUCGAACGGAAAGGCCCUGCUUUUGUGGGGUGCUCGAGUGGCGAACGGGUGAGUGACACGUGAGUAAACUGUCCUUGACUUUGGGAUAAAUUCAGGAAACUGGGGCUAAUACCGGAUAGGAGCUCCUGCUGCAUGGUGGGGGUUGGAAAGAUUCGGCGGUGGGGGCUGGACUCGCGGGUUAUCAGCUUGUUGGUGGGGUAGUGGCAUACAAAGGGUUUGACGGGUAGCCGGCCUGGGAGGGUGACCGGCCACAUUGGGACUGCGGUACGGCGCAGACUGCUACGGGAGGCAACAGUGGGAAAUAUUGCGCAGUGGGCGGGAGUCUGAGACAGCAGCGUCGCGUGCGUGAUGACGGCCUUCGGGUUGUGAACCGAUUUCGCCUGAGACAAAGCGUGAGUGACGGUAAUGGGUAAAGAAGCACCGGCUAACUACGUG